rnacentral:rRNA from 1 species
GAUGAACGCUGGCGGCGUGCCUAAUACAUGCAAGUCGAGCGAACAGACGAGGCGCUUGCUCCUCGGACGUUAGCGGCGGACGGGUGAGUAACACGUGGAUAACCUACCUAUAAGACUGGGAUAACUUCGGGAAACCGGAGCUAAUACCGGAUAAUAUAUUGAACCGCAUGGUUCAAUAGUGAAAUACGGUUUUGCUGUCACUUAUAGAUGGAUCCGGGCCGUAUGAGCUAGUUGGUAAGGUAACGGCUUACCAAGGCAACGAUGCGUAGCCGACCUGAGAGGGUGGUAGGCCGCACGGGAACGGGGCCAGGGUCAAUGCGCCUACGAGAGGCAGCAGUAGGCAAUCUUCCGCAAUGGGCGAAAGUCUUACGGAGCAACGGGGAGUGAGUGAUGAAGAUCUCCGGAGCGUAAAACUCUGUUAUGAGUUAUGAACAAAUGUGUAAGUAACUAUACACGGCUUGACGGUAAUUAGUCAGAAAGCCACGGCUAACUACGUG